CAUGUCUUGUGCAUUUUCUGCAUUCACAACAGCACCUACCAGUCUUCUCUCGUUUCCCACGCAGGAUCAAGAACGGGGCUGGGCACAUGAUGUGUCCGAAGGAAGGAAUGGAUUGAAUUGAGCCCCUGCAGAACGUGGACUCUUUGGAGGCACUGAAUUUGGUCUCUGGGUAUAUACUUGCCUUGGACUGGCCCAUUGAGUGGUGAAAAGCAAUGGACCAAAAGAGAUAUGCCAAGUUUCAACAACACAAAUCAAGCCUUCCAAGAACCAUCUCAGUUAAACUUGAGAAAGCAACAGUGGUUGAUAAUGAUGAGGUAAGAAGGAGCAUUAGAGGAAAGAGAGUACUUUAUAAGUUGGGUUCACAAACUUACUGUUGAAAAGG
rnacentral:lncRNA from 1 species